AGUGAACGCUGGCGGUAGGCCUAACACAUGCAAGUCGAACGGCAGCACAGUAAGAGCUUGCUCUUACGGGUGGCGAGUGGCGGACGGGUGAGGAAUACAUCGGAAUCUACUUUUUCGUGGGGGAUAACGUAGGGAAACUUACGCUCAUACCGCAUACGACCUACGGGUGAAAGCAGGGGAUCUUCGGACCUUGCGCGAUUGAAUGAGCCGAUGUCGGAUUAGCUAGUUGGCGGGGUAAAGGCCCACCAAGGCGACGAUCCGUAGCUGGUCUGAGAGGAUGAUCAGCCACACUGGAACUGAGACACGGUCCAGACUCCUACGGGAGGCAGCAGUGGGGAAUAUUGGACAAUGGGCGCAAGCCUGAUCCAGCCAUAACGCGUGGGUGAAGAAGGCCUUCGGGUUGUAAAGCCCUUUUGUUGGGAAAGAAAAGCAGCAGGUUAAUACCCCGCUGUUCUGACGGUACCCAAAGAAUAAGCACCGGCUAACUUCGUG
rnacentral:rRNA from 1 species